AUGUGACUGCAGAGGAGGACAGAGAACAGUGGACACACAGUUCAACAUGAUGGACUAUAGGACAGGACUGCUGCUGUUAACUAUCUGCUGGGCAGGUGUUGAUGGUCAGACUCUGACAGAAUCUGAACCAGUGGUUAAAAGGCCUGGAGAAUCUCACAGAUUGACCUGUACAGCAUCUGGAUUGGACAUUAGUAGCUCUUGGAUGGCUGGGUCAGACAGGCUCCUGGAAAAGGACUGGAGUGGAUUGCCAUGAAUGAUAACGGUGACAGCACCAAAUACUACUCUCAGUCAGUUCAAGGCCGGUUCACCAUCUCCAGAGACAACAACAGACAGCAGGUGUAUCUGCAGAUGAACAGUCUGAAGACUGAAGACUCUGCUGUUUAUUAUUGUGCUCGAGACUCACAGUGACUGGAGCUGGUUGAGCAGCUGUACAAAAUCCUACAGUUACAAUUUAUAUAGAGACAGUAGAGGAAAAACAUGAAGUAUUGUAAGUUUUCUUAUAGUAUUUAUAUUGUAUAGGAUAUUUCUUAUGAAUUUGCUUUACAUU